GGGUGCUUGCACCUGGUGGCGAGUGGCGAACGGGUGAGUAAUACAUCGGAACAUGUCCUGUAGUGGGGGAUAGCCCGGCGAAAGCCGGAUUAAUACCGCAUACGAUCUACGGAUGAAAGCGGGGGACCUUCGGGCCUCGCGCUAUAGGGUUGGCCGAUGGCUGAUUAGCUAGUUGGUGGGGUAAAGGCCUACCAAGGCGACGAUCAGUAGCUGGUCUGAGAGGACGACCAGCCACACUGGGACUGAGACACGGCCCAGACUCCUACGGGAGGCAGCAGUGGGGAAUUUUGGACAAUGGGCGAAAGCCUGAUCCAGCAAUGCCGCGUGUGUGAAGAAGGCCUUCGGGUUGUAAAGCACUUUUGUCCGGAAAGAAAUCCUUGGUUCUAAUAUAGCCGGGGGAUGACGGUACCGGAAGAAUAAGCACCGGCUAACUACGUGCCAGCAGCCGCGGUAAUACGUAGGGUGCGAGCGUUAAUCGGAAUUACUGGGCGUAAAGCGUGCGCAGGCGGUUUGCUAAGACCGAUGUGAAAUCCCCGGGCUCAACCUGGGAACUGCAUUGGUGACUGGCAGGCUAGAGUAUGGCAGAGGGGGGUAGAAUUCCACGUGUAGCAGUGAAAUGCGUAGAGAUGUGGAGGAAUACCGAUGGCGAAGGCA
rnacentral:rRNA from 1 species